rnacentral:rRNA from 1 species
UGAAUACGAGAUGCUACGGCGUCGAAGCAGUCUAUGUCAUACUUCCAAGAAAAGCUCGCACUGUCAUAAACAAAUAAUGCCUGUACCAUAACCGACACAGGUGGGUAGGUAGAGUAUACUAAGGGGCGCGAGAUAACUCUCUCUAAGGAACUCGGCAAAAUGACUCCGUAACUUCGGGAGAAGGAGUGCCUUAUUUAUAAGGUUGCAAUAACAAGAUCCAAGCAACUGUUUAUCAAAAACACAGGUCUCCGCUAAGUCGUAAGACGAUGUAUGGGGGCUGACGCCUGCCCAGUGCCAGAAGGUUAAAGAAGUUGGUUAGCAUUCGCGAAGCUGAUAACUGAAGCCCUGGUGAACGGCGGCCGUAACAAUAACGGUCCUAAGGUAGCGAAAUUCCUUGUCGGGUAAGUUCCGACCCGCACGAAAGGCGUAAUGAUUUGGAUACUGUCUCGGAGAGGGGCUCGGUGAAAUAGACUUGUCUGUGAAGAUGCGGACUACCUGCACCAGGACAGAAAGACCCUAUGAAGCUUUACUGUAACUUGAGAUUGAAAUUGGACUUUACUUGCGCAGUAUAGGUGGGAGGCGUUGAUAAUAUUCUUGCGGGAUUAUUUGAGCCAUCAGUGAGAUACCACUCUUGUAAUGUUAGAUUUCUAACUUUGUAUCAUUAUCUGGUCAAAGGACAGUUUCAGGCGGGCAGUUUGACUGGGGCGGUCGCCUCCUAAACGGUAACGGAGGCGCACAAAGGUUUCCUCUGAACGGGUAGAAAUCGUAUCUAGAGUGUAAAGGCAUAAGGAAGCUUGACUGUGAGACCUACAAGUCGAGCAGGGACGAAAGUCGGUCUUAGUGAUCUGACGGUGCUGAGUAGAAAGGCCGUCACUCAACGGAUAAAAGUUACUCUAGGAUAACAGGCUGAUCUCCCCCAAGGGUUCACAUCGACGGGGAGGUUUGGCACCUCGAUGUCGGCUCAUCGCAUCCUGGGGCGGUAGUACGUCCCAAGGGUUGGGCUGUUCGCCCAUGAAAGCGGUACGCGAGCUGGGUUCAGAACGUCGUGAGACAGUUCGGUCCAUAUCCGGUGUAGGCGUUAGAAUAUUGAGAGGAGCCUUCUUUAGUACGAGAGGACCGAGAAGGACAUACCUCUGGUGUACCAGUUAUCGUGCCAACGGUAAACGCUGGGUAGCUAUGUGGAUAACCGCUGAAAGCAUCUAAGUGGGAAGCCCACCUCAAGAUAAG